rnacentral:rRNA from 1 species
GAGCGAUUUGUCUGGUUAAUUUCGAUAACGAACGAGACUUUGGCCUGGCUAAUAGUAUCCCUGUCCUCUGUGCUCGUGCAGGCGGCGGUGCUCAUUGCCCUCAAAGGUGAUGGUGCUGUUUGCCGGCGCUGUACGGUGCAGGUGUAUACUUCUUAGAGGGACAAGCGGCUUUUAGUCGCACGAAAUUGAGCAAUAACAGGUCUGUGAUGCCCUUAGAUGUCCGGGGCCGCACGUGCGCUACAAUGACGGUAUCAGCGAGUCUGGGACCCUGGCCCGAAAGGGUUGGGCAACCUGAACCAUAUCCGUCGUGAUAGGGAUCGGGGCUUGCAAUUGUUCCCCGUGAACGAGGAAUUCCUAGUAAGUGCAAGUCAUAAGCUUGCGUUGAUUACGUCCCUGCCCUUUGUACACACCGCCCGUCGCUACUACCGAUUGAAUGGUUUAGUAAGGUCCUCGGAUUGGUUCUANGUAGCUGCUUCGGCAGCUCGCCCAGCGUUGAGAAGACGCCCAAACUUGAUCAUUAGAGGAAA